GAAGGAGUAGGGAGAGGAAGAAGAGAGGAGGUGGAGGAGCGUGAAGGAGUAGGGAGAGGUAGAGAAAGAAGAAGAGAAGGAGUAGGGAGAGGUAGAGGAAGAAGAGAAGGAGUAAGGAGAGGUAGAGGAAGAAGAGGAAGAGAAGGAGUAGGGAGAGGUAGAGGAAGAAGAGGAAGAGAAGGAGUAGGGAGAGGAAGAAGAGAGGAGGAGGAGGAGGAGGGAGAGGAAGAAGAGAGGAGGUUGAGGAGUUGGGAGAGGAAGAAGAGAGGAGGAGGAGAAGGAGUAGGGAGAGGAAGAAGGGAGGAGGAGCGUGAAGGAGUAGGGAGAGGAAGAAGAGAGGAGGAGGAGGAGGGAGAGGAAGAAGAGAGGAGGUUGAGGAGUUGGGAGAGGAAGAAGAGAGGAGGAGUAGGGAGAGGAAGAGGAAGAAGAGGAGGAGAAGGAGUAGGGAGAGGAAGAAGAGAGGUGGUGGAGCGUGAAGGAGUAGGGAGAGGAAGAAGAGGAGAGGAAGGGAGGGAGGAGGAGGAGAGGGGAGGAGAAGGAGGAGGAGGGGGAGGGGAGAGAGGUGAAGGGGAGAGAGAGGGGCAGGGCAUGAAGGAAGAGAAGGGGGAGAAGCUGGAGGAAGAGGGGUGAAGGAGGAGCAAGAGGUGGAAGAGGAAGAGAUAGAGGAGAGAGGAGAGAAGGUGGGAGCAAAGGGGGAAAGAGCGGAAGAGAAGCGAGGAGAGAAGGGGGGAGCAAAGGGGGAA